rnacentral:lncRNA from 1 species
UUGGAUUCUUUCUUAUCCUCUGCGGCCUUAUUGGCAUUAGGUAAUGGGGUUAAUCUAUGAGGUCGUAACUCACUGUUUUUAUCUGUAAGUCAUUAUUUUUAUUUUUUUUUUCAUCUAGCAAUAGACUCAUCCACGGACUUAUAGUCCUGGAUUAUGAGACUCUCAAUAAGAUGGUGGCUAAUAUUGCCUUGUAUCUAUCUUUCUCUCUUGGCAUUCUUACCUUAUUAGAUACAUUCACCAAGUCCUUUUGACUUUAGGAUAAUCUUAGUAUCCAUUGCCCAUUUUAAAAUAAUUAUCUCCUAAGAGAUUUAGGGCAGUAAAGUACAAGUUGUAAUUCAACAUCUACAAGGAAAAGUUUUGAGUCAAAAUCAUGUAAUCGUUAGUGUCAUGCGGUAUUUGAGACCGAACCAUGAAUCGAUUUAC